rnacentral:tRNA from 1 species
GAAAAAGUANUNGCAAGAACUGCUAAUUCUAUGCUCCCAUAUCUAAUAGUAUGGCUUUUUCGAACUUUUAAAGGAUAGUAGUUUAUCCGUUGGUCUUAGGAACCAAAAAAUUGGUGCAACUCCAAAUAAAAGUA